GUCUGAUAAUUGUACAUGUGCAUAUCAAAUAUUUAAUAAACAUAAUUUUAUGUACAUAUGCAUUAGAAAACUAUAACAUAGUUAAGGUUCUUGGCAAAUACAAAAAUGGAUAUUAUAAACAGUAAUUUGAUUGCACUAUUUCACUCUUAGCUCAUCGCAGCUUUAAAAAUAUAUCAUAAAUAAUAAACUAUUGGUUCAGUAAAAGAUAAUAUACUCAACAAUGUUUUCAGGAAAAAAUAUUUUUUAUUUUAAAGUAUAAAAUUAAAAAUAAGAAUAGGUAGGUAUUUAACCCAUUUGAAGAAGUACACAAGUUAAAAUAGUGUGAUAUUUAAUUUGUUUUCCAGUAAUAUAAUAUUACCUAAGUAUGCUUAAAAUAUUUGAAGUUAUAAAUAUUAAAAAAAAAAAAACAUAAUAAUAACCUUAUAAUUAUUAUUUGAAUAAAUUAAUACCAUAGUAUUAAAUUUUCCCACUAAUAGUGAUUAUUAGUGUUCUAUAUUUUAUGUGAACACACUUCUAGCGAGAAAUAACAUUAAAAUCUAUAAAACCAGGUUAGGUGGAGUGGAUCAAGUCAGACUAUAAUUUUAAAAUCUAACUAUGAUUAGUUUUUUAGAUUAAAACUUCUGUUAUAUUUUAACAGUUCUUUGUUAACUAACUAAAAGUAUUAUAGGUAAUUAAAAAACACUAUUAAAAUAAAUCUAGUAAGCAUAACUUUUGUUAUUUGUUUAUUUGAAUUGUUAAAAAUGAGAACUUAUCACAGUAUCACGAAAGUAAAUAAUCAGAUCACUAAAAAUACAUAAAUGUAUAAUAAUAUUAGAUGGGCAACUGCCUAAAACUACAUUUUAUGACCAAUAAUUUGUUUUUUUGAAUCAUAAAAUAACAUCAAAUAACAUCUUAUACUUUUUUAAAAAUUAGGCACAUUUUGCUUCUCAAACUUUUGGAUAGAUAAAUAUCACAUCAUUUAAACUUAAAAAAUAGGUAUUAUAUUUUUACUUAAUCAAAAUUUAAACACUUAAGUAUAAUUAAAUAAUAAUAAAAACCUGCCAAACCAAGCCCUAGUCGCACUUGCCCUAUUGAAAAAUUUGCACUUAUCUCAUAUGACAAUUUCAAAUGGGUAAGUGCAUAUUUGAUUAAAACAAUAAUUCAAAUAAAACUUUGGUUUAAUUCAACUUCAAAGUAAACUAGAAGUAAAAAAAAUAAUGAUUGCCAACAGUUUCAAAGAUUUAGCUUAAAUAGAAAAACUAUUAUUAAUUUAAGUAAAUUAAGGAAAAAACAUAAUAACAGCCUUCUUUCAAAAAUUAAAAAU